ACUAAAAUGGCAGAAAUUGUACAGGAUUUAAGCUCCUUUUAUGAAGAUUUAUUUCUUCUUUUAGUA
rnacentral:tRNA from 1 species